AUUGAACGCUGGCGGCAUGCCUUACACAUGCAAGUCGAACGGUAACAGGUCUUCGGAUGCUGACGAGUGGCGAACGGGUGAGUAAUACAUCGGAACGUGCCCGAUCGUGGGGGAUAACGAAGCGAAAGCUUUGCUAAUACCGCAUAAGAUCUACGGAUGAAAGCAGGGGACCGCAAGGCCUUGCGCGAACGGAGCGGCCGAUGGCAGAUUAGGUAAUUGGUGGGAUAAAAGCUUACCAAGCCGACGAUCUGUAGCUGGUCUGAGAGGACGACCAGCCACACUGGGACUGAGACACGGCCCAGACUCCUACGGGAGGCAGCAGUGGGGAAUUUUGGACAAUGGGCGCAAGCCUGAUCCAGCAAUGCCGCGUGCAGGAUGAAGGCCUUCGGGUUGUAAACUGCUUUUGUACGGAACGAAAAGGCUCUGGUUAAUACCUGGGGCUUAUGACGGUACCGUAAGAAUAAGCACCGGCUAACUACGUGCCAGCCGCCGCCGUAAGAC
rnacentral:rRNA from 1 species